rnacentral:lncRNA from 1 species
CAGAGACAUCCAAAAUCAUUUGACGUCCAUGGUCAAGUCAUAUUAAAUACCGAGUUCCUGCGUACUGUUACCAUAGAGUAUCAGUCGCUCCAACUUAUGGGUAACGAGUACACGGUGCCAGAAUAUAUGCUCGAGUGGGUCAUAGGAUUGUUGCCGAGUGUCGAGGGAAAAUCAUGUGAGGGUUGUACACAUAUGUACAUUCCAGCAUACAUCAAUAAGCACUAUGUUACGCAGGAAAUCGUUUUUGCUGACACGACUAUAUAUGUGUACGACCCAAAUCAUUCAAGUUUGACGCAAGGUCAGCUGGAGCAAAACCUGGAGUCCGUAGCUGUAAUUGUUCCUAUGAUGGUCAGAUAAGUGGGGAUGACUGUACAGGAUAGAUUGCGGAUUGUUCAGAACACGACGACAUCGCAACAAUUCGUAAGGUAAAUGUUUGAACUUUGUUAUUUUCAUUUUUUAGAUUUAGUUUUUUAGCUACACAGUACUGAACUGAUCAAUUUUUGUUCAAUUGUAGCGGCGACUGCGGCAUAUUUGUCAUUAAGUACGUUAAAUUUUUAAGUAUAGGACAUAUGGUUGAUGGAAUCAACCAAUCGUGGAUACAGAACUGGAGAAAAAAGCUAGUAUGUGAUUUGUUCGAAUUUAA